rnacentral:tRNA from 1 species
GCUGGGAUAGCUCAGUCGGCAGAGCACUUCCUUGGUAAGGAAGAGGUCACGGGUUCGAUUCCCGUUCCCAGCU